AGAGUUUGAUCCUGGCUCAGAACGAACGCUGGCGGCAGGCCUAACACAUGCAAGUCGAGCGCGCCCUUCGGGGGUGAGCGGCGGACGGGUUUAGUAACGCGUGGGAACGUACCCUUUGGUAGGGAAUAGCCACUGGAAACGGUGAGUAAUACCCUAUGAGCCCUUCGGGGGAAAGAUUUAUCGCCAAAGGAUCGGCCCGCGUUAGAUUAGGUAGUUGGUGGGGUAAUGGCCUACCAAGCCUACGAUCUAUAGCUGGUUUUAGAGGAUGAUCAGCAACACUGGGACUGAGACACGGCCCAGACUCCUACGGGAGGCAGCAGGUGGGGAAUCUUGGACAAUGGGGGCAACCCUGAUCCAGCCAUGCCGCGUGAGUGAAGAAGGCCUUAGGGUCGUAAAGCUCUUUCGCCUGUGAAGAUAAUGACGGUAGCAGGUAAAGAAACCCCGGCUAACUCCGUGCCAGCCGCCGC
rnacentral:rRNA from 1 species